UUGGAAGCUUCCUCCUGAAAACAACAAAGCAUGCCACAUAUUUAUAAUUUAAACAAAAUCAGAAUAUGAACAAACAAAAUAAACAAGCACAUACUUUCUCGGAUUAGGAGGAGAGAAAAUGCAUAGUCUGGAUCCCUCUCCGUGCCCAAGUAUUUGGCAUCUUUUGCAUUUGUUUUUGUUACCCUUUUGAGCCCUUUUUGACUUUGCAUCUUUCUUGUCCUUCUUGCCCUUCUUACUACUCCCACCUUUUUCAAACCAUGCUUUGAAUCUACUCUGUUUAGGUCUGCCUGCCUUUCUUUUUGUUAGAGGAUGACACAUGGAAUAUUCAAGAGGCACUUUUGGCCACUGUUCCUGAUCUGUAAGAGGUGGAAUUGGAGUUGCAUAUGCAGCUCUGAAUUUUGCUACCGAAUAAUACUCAUGCAGAUAUGGAUGCAUAUUUAUCUUUGGUUGGCCGGCUAAGAAUAGAAUAGCAUGAUCACAUGGUUUACCAGUCGCCUGUCAUUCGAGGCAACUGCAAUCAUGCAAUUCAGUGUUAACAACAUGCCUCCUUCCAGUCUUGUUAUCUCUAACUUCAGCACCCCACAGUGAUGAUUUUUCAACAGACAAAUGUGUAAGACCUCUGCUUCUGUUGACCACCUGUUGCACCACUGCUGGAAGUUUAUCACCUUGCAGACAAUCAGCAAUCUUUUUUCUCAAUUCUCACAGCCGCAUGAGCAUGAUCCUGAUUUGAUCAACCAUGUCAUGCACAGGCAAAUCUUUUAGCUGCUUCACCUUGUUGUUGAAACUUUCUGCCAAAUUGUUGUUGAUAUGGUCACACUUGAUGGCAGUGUUGUAUCCUCACCUGCACCAUAAUAAGGAAUGGUAGGUGUUCAACCAUGUACCAAACUCCUCACAUGUUGCCAUUACCUUACUAAGAUGAUAUGAAUGUGUCUGUUUAGUGUAAGAUCUUGUUGCUGGCCACAUUCUCCCAAAUUCAUCUCCUCUGAAUUUUUUAAUCAAAUUCAUCCACAAAUGGCCAAAGCACUCCCUUUUCUCAGCAUGUGGGAACACAUUUUUAACUGCAUUUUCUAGACCUUUGCAUGCAUCUGUGUGUAUUGCCAAAGGUGACACUGGCCCUAAGCAUCUUUUCAACUGCAUCAUGAACCAUGGCCAUGAAGCCUCUGUCUCUGACUGAAACAAGCCAAUAGCAACUGGAAACAUCCAGUUAUGUCCAUCUAGAGCAUUACAUACUGCCAACUGACCAUUCCACUUGCCUGUCAAAAAUGAUGAGUCUAUGCUCAAAUAUGGACGACAUCCUGCUUUGAAGCCAUUGAUGCAAGGCUUUAAAGCCAUAAAUUUUUUGGAGAAAUAAACCUUGCCAUCCUCUGAUACCUCAGUAUCUAUCUCGACAACACUGCCAGGUGACCUUUUCUCCACCUCUGCUUUGAAAUUGAAAAGCAGCCUAAAUGUGUUUGCCCAAUCACCAUACAAAUUCUUCAUUGCCCUUUGUUUAGCCUUCCACACUGUGGUAUAAUGCAGUUUAAUGGGGUACAACUUUUCCAAGUCUACUUGAAGUCUUUUUGCAGUAGUGUUGGGUGUUUUGGCCAAAAUUGGAGUUAUCUUUUCUACAACCCAAAUCUGUGAUGUCAUGCUUGAUUUUUUCUGUGAACUUGUGAGACAAGUAUGUUUAUUAGGGAUUUGGUUAACCCUGACAGUACUUCCAUCAGGCUGCAGUCUAGCAAAUAUGUACCACUUGCAAGCCCUCCUACCACUACCAUCAAAACCUCUGCACUUAGCAUAAAACUUCUUUCUAUCAGUCCAAACUGUCUUGGCAUCAAACUGAUGUCUGACUGCAUAAGUCUUGAAAGACAACCUGAACUCAUCCAUGUUUGGCCACAACUUCCCCACUCGAAUGACAGGGUUUUCCUUGUCAUACACAUGCACUAGCUCUUCAUCAUGUGCAUCAUCUACAUCAUCUGUAGUAUCUUUCAUCAACUGUUCAUCUACAUCACUCAAUUCUCUGUCAUCAUUAUCACUUGUAUUAGCUUCAUCCCUCUCCUCCUCAUCUUUGUCAUCGACUGGAAUGCCAAAUAGUUUGGCCAUCUCAGUGUCAGCAAUUGGUGCAAUGACCAAAUCAGUAGGCUCCUCCAACUCAACUGCAUUCCAAUCAACAACAUUAACAUUUCCCUCUUCUGCAUGUGCAUUAGCCCCAUCGGCUAUUACUGUUAGAUCCGUAAUAAUGGGAACGAUAUGCCUCUGCAAAGCCCAAUCAUCAUCUGCCUUCUGCAUAGCCAAGUGUGACGGCACAUAACCUACCUUCGAGUCAAUAUUCAGAUCAACGAGCUCAGCAAAAAAUUCAGCCCUGAGGCUUGCCUAGCCCUCUUGCCUAUCGAUUUCAACAACAAUAUCUUCACCAUCUUUAAUUCUGACAUACUCUCCUUUGAAAUCAUCAUACCGCAAUAGUGAAACCUCUUGCUCUGGACCCCAAAGCACAGUUUCCUCAAUUUUCUCCACCAAUUUCCUCACUGCCUUCUCUUCCAUCGACUGUAUCUCAUUGGGAUCAAUUUCUGCACAAUCAACCUCCCAUUUCACAAUUGUGUCUCUCUGGAUGUUCUCAAUGCUACCAUCAACUAAUUUUGCCGUCGAUGGAAAUAAAUUGAUUGCAAAUUCAAAUGUUUCAGCAGCAUUCCCUCUGUUAUAGGCGGGCGGGCAGCGUCAGACAGAGCAAAGAUUGCCUUCAAUCGCACUCACAAAAUGGGCGGAAGGGAGGCACAUUACCUGUUCGAAGCUGAAUCUGGUGGCUCUUUCUCGACCUGACCACGUGCUCCUCUCACCGUGCCGCCCCCUCUCACCUUCUAUCGAUUUCACCAAGCAAAACAAAGAGCUCAGAUCUACAAGGCGGAGGGGAUUGGGACUAGAGUAUCGAAUUCACUCACCACCAUGGCCGCCGCCGCCGCCGAAAGGGGGCUACGCCGAGAAAGAGGGCUCCUCCGCCGUAGCCGCCGCCGGAGCUGAAGAUGUCGGGCAGUUUCG
rnacentral:lncRNA from 1 species